UGAUGACGAGACGCUAAGGCGUUGAAGCAGUGUAUGUCAGACUUCCAAGAAAAGCUCGCAAUGUCACGGAUAAAAAAUGCCUGUACCAUAACCGACACAGGUGGGUAGGUAGAGUAUACUAGGGGCGCGAGAUAACUCUCUCUAAGGAACUCGGCAAAAUGACUCCGUAACUUCGGGAGAAGGAGUGCCUUAUUUAUAAGGUUGCAAUAACAAGAUCCAAGCAACUGUUUAUCAAAAACACAGGUCUCCGCUAAGUCGUAAGACGAUGUAUGGGGGCUGACGCCUGCCCAGUGCCAGAAGGUUAAAGAAGUUGGUUAGUGUAUGCGAAGCUGAUGACUGAAGCCCUGGUGAACGGCGGCCGUAACGAUAACGGUCCUAAGGUAGCGAAAUUCCUUGUCGGGUAAGUUCCGACCCGCACGAAAGGCGUAAUGAUUUGGAUACUGUCUCGGAGAGAGGCUCGGUGAAAUAGACUUGUCUGUGAAGAUGCGGACUACCUGCACCAGGACAGAAAGACCCUAUGAAGCUUUACUGUAACUUGAAAUUGGAAUUGGACUUUGCUUGCGCAGUAUAGGUGGGAAGCGUUGAAAAUAUUCUUGCGGGAGUAUUGGAGCUAUCAGUGAGAUACCACUCUUGUAAUGUUAGAUUUCUAACUUUGAACCAUAAUCUGGUCAAAGAACAGUUUCAGGUGGGCAGUUUGACUGGGGCGGUCGCCUCCCAAAUGGUAACGGAGGCGUACAAAGGUUUCCUCUGAACGGAUAGAAAUCGUAUCUAGAGUGUAAAGGCAUAAGGAAGCUUGACUGUGAGACCUACAAGUCGAGCAGGGACGAAAGUCGGUCUUAGUGAUCUGACGGUACUGAGUGGAAAGGCCGUCACUCAACGGAUAAAAGUUACUCUAGGGAUAACAGGCUGAUCUCCCCCAAGAGUUCACAUCGACGGGGAGGUUUGGCACCUCGAUGUCGGCUCAUCGCAUCCUGGGGCGGUAGUACGUCCCAAGGGUUGGGCUGUUCGCCCAUGAAAGCGGUACGCGAGCUGGGUUCAGAACGUCGUGAGACAGUUCGGUCCAUAUCCGGUGUAGGCGCUAGAAUAUCGAGAGGAGCCUUCUUUAGUACGAGAGGACCGAGAAGGACACACCGCUGGUGUACCAGUUAUCGUGCCAACGGUAAACGCUGGGUAGCUAUGUGUGGAGUGGAUAACCGCUGAAAGCAUCUAAGUGGGAAGCCCACCUCGAGAUGAG
rnacentral:rRNA from 1 species